rnacentral:lncRNA from 1 species
UUGGCAGAGUAGACUGAAUGACCAUCUUUCCUCAUUUUCUCUGGUUUUGAAGCCUUUCAAUUGGUAUUGUAUUUUAACAUUUUACAUUAUUAUGUUAAUGUUAGUAAUGUAUUAUUAACAUGUUUUCUAAAUUUUUUUUUGCUGGAGCUGACCUUGCUUUUCACUAUGAGAGCCAGUGGAUCUGUAGAUCUUGUGUACCACAUGUUGGUGGAUACUCUGGUUCAGACCAGCUGGCUGUCCUGGUUCAGCACUCAGAAAAUAGCUACCAGAGCAAAUUUUUACUUACACCAUUUGUGGCACUCUGACCACCUGACAUGACACUUUCCCUUGGGUUAAGACAUUUCCCCCCUUAAGAUCCCCCACACGUUCUGUGGUAUUGGUGAGGAAGGAAAUAUUUUUAAGACCUCAGGCUGUUUAGGAAGGUCCAGCUGUUGUACCUUAGAGUAUGGAAGAGCCCAGGCCUGAGUCUGAGACUCCUCGCCUCUGCAAGAGAUGGGAGAGUACAAGCAGACCUGUGCUGAUGGUCACAGGACAUGAAUGGCCAAAAUUCUCUCCUUAUAGCUCCAGCCAAAAACUGAAUGAGGAUGGGAAGGGGGGUGGGAAGGGCAAAAGGGCCCUGCCCCUUGACCCAUGUGCCAGUUUCCUUUUACACAUUCUCACUUCUGCCGGCCUGGCCAGGACUUACUCCAGGAACCUAAACAGGUACCACCUUAGUUUUAUUCCUGAGACAUUCAUUUUGAUUUUGAUUGAACAUGAAUAG